rnacentral:rRNA from 1 species
CCUAAUACAUGCAAGUCGAGCGAACAGAUAAGGAGCUUGCUCCUUUGACGUUAGCGGCGGACGGGUGAGUAACACGUGGAUAACCUACCUAUAAGACUGGGAUAACUUCGGGAAACCGGAGCUAAUACCGGAUAACAUAUUGAACCGCAUGGUUCAAUAGUGAAAGGCGGCUUUGCUGUCACUUAUAGAUGGAUCCGCGCCGUAUUAGCUAGUUGGUAAGGUAACGGCUUACCAAGGCAACGAUACGUAGCCGACCUGAGAGGGUGAUCGGCCACACUGGAACUGAGACACGGUCCAGACUCCUACGGGAGGCAGCAGUAGGGAAUCUUCCGCAAUGGGCGAAAGCCUGACGGAGCAACGCCGCGUGAGUGAUGAAGGUCUUCGGAUCGUAAAACUCUGUUAUCAGGGAAGAACAAAUGUGUAAGUAACUGUGCACAUCUUGACGGUACCUGAUCAGAAAGCCACGGCUAACUACGUGCCAGCAGCCGCGGUAAUACGUAGGUGGCAAGCGUUAUCCGGAAUUAUUGGGCGUAAAGCGCGCGUAGGCGGUUUUUUAAGUCUGAUGUGAAAGCCCACGGCUCAACCGUGGAGGGUCAUUGGAAACUGGAAAACUUGAGUGCAGAAGAGGAAAGUGGAAUUCCAUGUGUAGCGGUGAAAUGCGCAGAGAUAUGGAGGAACACCAGUGGCGAAGGCGACUUUCUGGUCUGUAACUGACGCUGAUGUGCGAAAGCGUGGGGAUCAAACAGGAUUAGAUACCCUGGUAGUCCACGCCGUAAACGAUGAGUGCUAAGUGUUAGGGGGUUUCCGCCUCUUAGUGCUGCAGCUAACGCAUUAAGCACUCCGCCUGGGGAGUACGACCGCAAGGUUGAAACUCAAAGGAAUUGACGGGACCCGCACAAGCGGUGGAGCAUGUGGUUUAAUUCGAAGCAACGCGAGAACCUUACCAAAUCUUGACAUCCUUUGACCGCUCUAGAGUUAGA